rnacentral:tRNA from 1 species
AGGCCUGUAGCUUAGAGGAGUAGAGCACAUGGCUACGAACCAUGGUGUUGGGAUUUGAAUCCCUCCUCUCCCA